rnacentral:lncRNA from 7 species
UUAUGCUGUAAGUGAAGCUGUUUUCUGAGUAAGCCUUAUGGCAAUGCUGUAUGUACUUUGUCCCCUGAAAGAAGGAACACCUUGAAUUGGAGCUUUCCCUGAGACUGGAGAGUGGAAGAGUCUCAGAUCUCAUCGCAAGGAUCCUGCCUUCCCUCCUGGCAUUGUUACUUCUCUUCGAAGACCAAGCAUCUGUUCUUAUCUCCCACACUAGUGUCAGUGGACAGAAGGAUGCAGCAGCCUGCCUGCCCUGCUCCUGCACUGUCAGAGCUGUUCUUUGCCUUUGCAUGGAUUACGUGUGUCGAUGGACUGAAACAAGAUUAUAUACUGCUGCAUGUACAGCAUGCAUAUUCACACCUUCGUUAUGCCGUAGAUUUUUAUAGCUGUUAAAUUUCCUUUUCAUUAUAUUUGAUUUGCUAAGAUGAAGGCUUGUUUUAUCAAAACUAAUUACAUGGUAUGUAUUUAAUGUUCUGUCCCUAAGGUUUUCAUAGUAAUAAAAUUGAUUGUUACUGAUUAAAAUGGUUCUAUUACAUCAGCUUAAUGUCACUUGAGGUGAAUGCGGUAUUAGAAAAAUGGCCAGUAAAACACUGAAUAGGGAACACAGAGGCAAAGAUAAAACACAGGGAGAAGAUUUUUGAAUGGACAAGGUUUAUUUUUUUCUUUUAGAGUUGAUUACAAUCAAGAAUUUUACAGCUUUGACUUGGCACUGGGAGAUGUCCGAAGUGUUUGCAAAACUGUAGUUGUUCUUGUGUUUAUCCAACUUACUGGAUUGCGGUUCUGCAGCUCCUUGAUAAAUGUUUAAUGCAUCACC